GGCGUGUAGCGCUGGCCGUUACAAUAUAUUGAUCCGUUGCAUUCACCUGCGAGGUGGCUCGCCCCAGUACCCGCCGCGGCCCUGCCCGACGUUACACCUACCUAAUUACUGUAGCCUCGCGAAGGUGUAGUCAAUAACAUAUUGCAACGACCAUGACUAAUCGUUGCUAGGUAACCGAAGUCAACACUAAAACUAACAAAGUUAUAAUACAAUACAGAUGAGAGGUCAAAAUACAAAAUGCAUUUUUGUGUUUAUCACCCAAAUAUUCCUGCUAUUAUAUCACUUGUUGACGCCAGCAUGCGAUACCAAAUGAUUAUUUAAUGUGUUAAGCAAAUGUAGUCCACCGCCCUGCGACCUAGAUAGUAGAUAAGUACAUACGUUUGCAUGGGCUGACCUAGGAGCGCGGUUGUAGGGGCAGUCGAUGCCCCAGUGGCCCAGAUCGAGGCCGGGUCGCUAAAUGCGCAUGUGCAAUACAGCCGCUGAAUGGAAAACCAGACUACGCUCCGUGACAAUGCCUCCACUUGAUAAAUUAUUCUGAUAUUGCUUGUUUGUGUGGUAAAAUUUACACUUGUGAAUUUUUAACAAAAAUUACUUUGGAAGUGACAAUGUAAAGAGGAUUACAUCUAUCAAACAUUGUAUUUAACUGAUAAAAGUGGCCUUUUGUCUUUUAAUAUUUUGAGUCACGUCAUGAUCAGUCUGAAACGCGAAUUUGCGCUCAUCAUAGUUUAUGACAAAAAAGAAAAAUGGCCGAUUCACGUAAUGUCAAAACUCUAAGGGCGAGAGAUUAUCGUAAAAACGUGUAAAAUAUUGCUGGAAUUGUGAAAAAGUGCAUUUCAGUGCAAGUGUCGUGUUUUAGUGCUCAUAGUACAGUGUGUAACAGUGACUUCGGGGAAUAAAAUCUUAUGCUGACGGAUAUAAGAGUGUAGAUCUCCCUGCAGAAUAGAUGCACAAUGUGAGCGUGUCAUGUGGGGCGCGCAGGCGGGCUGGUGGUGCGGCGCGCUGGCGGCG